AGGACACAACGUUUUGGAACGUUCAGAAAUAAAUAUGUUAUGUAGAACAAGCAUGGCAUUUCUAUCUGCAACGUUCGACAACGUUUGGCAACCGAACGUGGCACUGUUCAUACAAAAAUGAUUAAUUUGAGCCAUCUAGCGACGAAGAGAGGAGUGUUUCUGGCGUACGUCCUAGAUCCUUCUAUCAAGAGGAGAAACCAACCAGUUGGGGUGAGGGUUAGAUAUUCUUCCUCCAGCAUAUUUCUUUACCCUUCUGAGGUGAAAAAUAAUUCCUCAGCCUCAUACCUUCCUCAUGAUUUGUUUUACUUAAAGGCUGUUAGAGUUAUUUAUAUAUCAUAACAAGUAUUAAAAUAGCUCAGUGAGGGGUGAGAGACUCACCAAGUAAAACAAGGAGCUUGGCCAUCAUAAACUCCCAUUUAGAAGCAGUCUGCAAUCCUGUGUCUCAACCUGGUCUCAGAGCAUUCCAUAUUAUUCUGUACGUAAAUCUGAGACACUCCAUUUAG
ensembl:lncRNA